AAGGUCCAUUGGAGUGAGUGGAGUAGUCGCGACACACAUUGGACGGUUUUGGUCGGACCCACUGUGACGCACUUGUUUUUCCCGGACGCCAUUUUACGUGCAACUUCCGCUGGUGGCGACGGAACAGGCGGAUUAAUAUCUUGCAAUGACCGACUCUCUUUGUGCUAGCAAACGGGAGCGGAUCCAUGGAUCCAAACGCAACUUUUCCCUGCAAAUACUUCGACGAGUCUGUCUCAGCGCCUUUUGCCACCCAGCGAUUGGAGACAGUUUUAAUUGCAGCAUGACAACCACAAGAAAGGACCAGAAGCCCCAUAAAAGCCAAAGCAAGCUGGCAGCUGUCCCACAGUGGAAAGCUAGCCAUGCCAUAAUUACAGGACUGCGGUGCCUCUCAGGAAGACUUGGACAUCACCGGCAAUCAAGGAGCCCAGUUCUUCUCGUACGGGACACUCGGGGGACAACAGCACCGGGACCUGAACCCCAGUCCGAACCACCGCAGGACGAGCCUCGGUUCGCCCCUCGGAUGCGACGGAUGCGACUGCAGCCUUGACCCAUGUGCCGAGCCGUUGGGCCGCCUGAUUGAAGUGCACCACACUUGAGAACAUCAGCGCCUUGCAUCCAUUGAAAUAAUAAGCUGACCCAGAGAGCUGCUCGCCUUUGAGCUGCAGCCAAGCCAUCUGAAUCCACUCUGCCCAAAUGAGGGCUUAUUUUUCAAAGCGUCUCCCCCUCAUGUGCGCCGGCCCGACCCUGCGCCCGUGUGCUGUGUGCGCUGCACUGCACCGUACGGGCCGCUUUGGGAACGGAGCAGAUCACGUCUGUGGCCGAACAGUUUGUUCGGUGAGUCACUUUAUCCUGGAGAGUUGCGUCUUCGCAGUCUUGAGUUUCCAGCAGUUUCCCCUCCCCCCCAAAAAAAGUUUUGUUUGGUGUUUGUUCAUAACCUUUGAGUCAACAUUUCUCUGGCGUCUCUUCCCAUGUCACAAACGGAAAGUCCGGCUGAAACGAGAUGAGACACCAUGAGGGAUGCAGAAGUAAAAAAGUUCAGUACGUCAGUUUGGUUUUCGUGACAUUCAGGGACCAUGUACAGAAACCUCACACCAACAUGAGAGAUGCUUUGUAGCGAUACUUCCAAUCAUCUACAACAUACGGUUACAGCGAAUUCAACAAGUUCAAAAUGCAAUGAGUGAUAAUGCAAUAAAUGGCAUUUGAUCAUCAAAACAAAUAAAAUUCACUCUCAUGAAAUUAUUAGCUGUGCUGCAAAUUGUUGUCGAGUGUAUUUAACCGUCUGUGAAGUAGCUACAUAGGUUGUACA